AGGGAUUCAGGAGAAUAAUUGAUCCAAAUCCUGGCCCUGCACAGACACCCCAGCAAACCCACCCUGUCCCUGCAAACAUCGUCCAAACACUCCUUGAGCUCUGGCUGCCUUGGGGCCGUGACCCUGGGUAGCCUGGUCAGUGCCUGACCACCAUCUGGGGGAAGAACCUUUUGCUGAUAUCCAACCUAACCCUCCCCUGAUGCAGCUUCAUGCCAU